rnacentral:rRNA from 1 species
UACGAAGGGGGCUAGCGUUGCUCGGAAUCACUGGGCGUAAAGGGUGCGUAGGCGGGUCUUUAAGUCAGGGGUGAAAUCCUGGAGCUCAACUCCAGAACUGCCUUUGAUACUGAGGAUCUUGAGUUCGGGAGAGGUGAGUGGGAACUGCGAGUGUAGAGGUGAAAUUCGUAGAUAUUCGCAAGAACACCAGUGGCGAAGGCGGCUCACUGGCCCGAUACUGACGCUGAGGCACGAAAGCGUGGGGAGCAAACAGGG